rnacentral:rRNA from 1 species
GACGAACGCUGGCGGCGUGCUUAACACAUGCAAGUCGAACGGAGAGGCCCUGUUUUUGUGGGGUGUUCGAGUGGCGAACGGGUGAGUAACACGUGAGUAACCUGCCCUUGACUUUGGGGUAAAUCAAGGAAACAGGGGUGAAAAUCGGAUAGGAGCUCCUGCUGCAUGGGGGGGGUUGGUAAGUUGCGUCGGUUGGGGAUGGACUCGCGGCUUAUCAGCGUGUUGGUGGGGUAGUGGCGUACCAAGGCUUUGACGGGUAGCCGGCCUGAGAGGGUGACAGGCCACAAUGGGACUGAGAUACGGCCCGUACUCAUACGGGAGGCAGCAGUGGGAAAUAUAGCACGAUGGGCGGAGUCCUGAUACAGCGUCGCCGCGUGCGGGAUGACGGCUUUCGGGUUAUAAACCGCUUGCGCCUGUGACGAAGCGUGAGUGACGGUAAUGGGUAAAGAAGCACCGGCUAACUACGUG